UACGUAGGGGGCUAGCGUUGUCCGGAAUCAUUGGGCGUAAAGCGCGCGUAGGCGGCCAGAUAAGUCCGGUGUGAAAGUCACAGGCUCAACCUGUGAAUGCCGCUGGAAACUGUCUGGCUAGAGUCCGGAAGGGGCGAGUGGAAUUCCUGGUGUAGCGGUGAAAUGCGCAGAUAUCAGGAGGAACACCUAUAGCGAAGGCAGCUUGCUGGGACGUUACUGACGCUAAGGCGCGAAAGCGUGGGGAGCGAACAGG
rnacentral:rRNA from 1 species